rnacentral:rRNA from 1 species
UACGGGGGGGCAAGCGUUGUUCGGAAUUACUGGGCGUAAAGGGUUCGUAGGUGGCCAACUAAGUCAUACGUGAAAUCCCUCAGCUUAACUGGGGAACUGCGUCUGAUACUGGUUGGCUUGAGUGCAGGAGAGGAACGCGGAAUUCCAGGUGUAGCGGUGAAAUGCGUAGAUAUCUGGAGGACACCGGUGGCGAAGGCGGCAUCCUGGACCAACACUGACGCUGAGGAGCGAAAGCCAGGGAGCA